rnacentral:rRNA from 1 species
UACAGAGGUCUCAAGCGUUGUUCGGAUUCAUUGGGCGUAAAGGGUGCGUAGGUGGCGCUGUAAGUCGGGUGUGAAAUUUCGGAGCUUAACUCCGAAACUGCAUUCGAUACUGCGGUGCUUGAGGACUGGAGAGGAGACUGGAAUUCAUGGUGUAGCAGUGAAAUGCGUAGAGAUCAUGAGGAAGACCAGUGGCGAAGGCGGGUCUCUGGACAGUUCCUGACACUGAGGCACGAAGGCCCAGGGGGAGCAAAACGGG